rnacentral:tRNA from 1 species
GGGGGUAUAGCUCAAUGGUAGAGUGCAUGCCUAGCAUGCAUGAGGUCCUGGGUUCAAUCCCUGGUACCUCCA